rnacentral:rRNA from 1 species
UUAAGCGACUAAGCGUACACGGUGGAUGCCCUGGCAGUCAGAGGCGAUGAAGGACGUGCUAAUCUGCGAAAAGCGUCGGUAAGGUGAUAUGAACCGUUAUAACCGGCGAUGUCCGAAUGGGGAAACCCAGUGCAAUUCGUUGCACUAUCGUUAACUGAAUACAUAGGUUAACGAGGCGAACCGGGGGAACUGAAACAUCUAAGUACCCCGAGGAAAAGAAAUCAACCGAGAUUCCCCCAGUAGCGGCGAGCGAACGGGGAGCAGCCCAGAGUCUGAAUCAGCUUGUGUGUUAGUGGAACGGUCUGGAAAGUCCGACGGUACAGGGUGAUAGUCCCGUACACCAAAAUGCACAGGUUGUGAACUCGAAGAGUAGGGCGGGACACGUGGUAUCCUGUCUGAAUAUGGGGGGACCAUCCUCCAAGGCUAAAUACUCCUGACUGACCGAUAGUGAACCAGUACCGUGAGGGAAAGGCGAAAAGAACCCCGGCGAGGGGAGUGAAAAAGAACCUGAAACCGUGUACGUACAAGCAGUGGGAGCACCUUCGGGUGUGACUGCGUACCUUUUGUAUAAUGGGUCAGCGACUUAUAUUCUGUAGCAAGGUUAACCGUAUAGGGGAGCCGCAGGGAAACCGAGUCUUAACUGGGCGUUAAGUUGCAGGGUAUAGACCCGAAACCCGGUGAUCUAGCCAUGGGCAGGUUGAAGGUUGGGUAACACUAACUGGAGGACCGAACCGACUAAUGUUGAAAAAUUAGCGGAUGACUUGUGGCUGGGGGUGAAAGGCCAAUCAAACCGGGAGAUAGCUGGUUCUCCCCGAAAGCUAUUUAGGUAGCGCCUCGUGAAUUCAUCUUCGGGGGUAGAGCACUGUUUCGGCUAGGGGGUCAUCCCGACUUACCAACCCGAUGCAAACUACGAAUACCGAAGAAUGUUAUCACGGGAGACACACGGCGGGUGCUAACGUCCGUCGUGAAGAGGGAAACAACCCAGACCGCCAGCUAAGGUCCCAAAGUCAUGGUUAAGUGGGAAACGAUGUGGGAAGGCACAGACAGCCAGGAUGUUGGCUUAGAAGCAGCCAUCAUUUAAAGAAAGCGUAAUAGCUCACUGGUCGAGUCGGCCUGCGCGGAAGAUGUAACGGGGCUAAACCAUGCACCGAAGCUGCGGCAGCGACACUAUGUGUUGUUGGGUAGGGGAGCGUUCUGUAAGCCUGCGAAGGUGACCUGUGAGGGUUGCUGGAGGUAUCAGAAGUGCGAAUGCUGACAUAAGUAACGAUAAAGCGGGUGAAAAGCCCGCUCGCCGGAAGACCAAGGGUUCCUGUCCAACGUUAAUCGGGGCAGGGUGAGUCGACCCCUAAGGCGAGGCCGAAAGGCGUAGUCGAUGGGAAACAGGUUAAUAUUCCUGUACUUGGUGUUACUGCGAAGGGGGGACGGAGAAGGCUAUGUUAGCCGGGCGACGGUUGUCCCGGUUUAAGCAUGUAGGCUGAUUAUCCAGGCAAAUCCGGAUAAUCAAGGCUGAGGUGUGAUGACGAGGCACUACGGUGCUGAAGUAACAAAUGCCCUGCUUCCAGGAAAAGCCUCUAAGCAUCAGGUAACAUCAAAUCGUACCCCAAACCGACACAGGUGGUCAGGUAGAGAAUACCAAGGCGCUUGAGAGAACUCGGGUGAAGGAACUAGGCAAAAUGGUGCCGUAACUUCGGGAGAAGGCACGCUGGUGUGUAGGUGAAGCCCCUGCGGGUGGAGCUGAGACCAGUCGAAGAUACCAGCUGGCUGCAACUGUUUAUUAAAAACACAGCACUGUGCAAACACGAAAGUGGACGUAUACGGUGUGACGCCUGCCCGGUGCCGGAAGGUUAAUUGAUGGGGUUAUCCGUAAGGAGAAGCUCUUGAUCGAAGCCCCGGUAAACGGCGGCCGUAACUAUAACGGUCCUAAGGUAGCGAAAUUCCUUGUCGGGUAAGUUCCGACCUGCACGAAUGGCGUAAUGAUGGCCAGGCUGUCUCCACCCGAGACUCAGUGAAAUUGAACUCGCUGUGAAGAUGCAGUGUACCCGCGGCAAGACGGAAAGACCCCGUGAACCUUUACUAUAGCUUGACACUGAACAUUGAGCCUUGAUGUGUAGGAUAGGUGGGAGGCUUUGAAGCGUGGACGCCAGUCUGCGUGGAGCCAACCUUGAAAUACCACCCUUUAAUGUUUGAUGUUCUAACGUUGGCCCCUGACCGGGGUUGCGGACAGUGUCUGGUGGGUAGUUUGACUGGGGCGGUCUCCUCCCAAAGCGUAACGGAGGAGCACGAAGGUUAGCUAAUCCUGGUCGGACAUCAGGAGGUUAGUGCAAUGGCAUAAGCUAGCUUGACUGCGAGCGUGACGGCGCGAGCAGGUGCGAAAGCAGGUCAUAGUGAUCCGGUGGUUCUGAAUGGAAGGGCCAUCGCUCAACGGAUAAAAGGUACUCCGGGGAUAACAGGCUGAUACCGCCCAAGAGUUCAUAUCGACGGCGGUGUUUGGCACCUCGAUGUCGGCUCAUCACAUCCUGGGGCUGAAGUAGGUCCCAAGGGUAUGGCUGUUCGCCAUUUAAAGUGGUACGCGAGCUGGGUUUAGAACGUCGUGAGACAGUUCGGUCCCUAUCUGCCGUGGGCGCUGGAGAAUUGAGGGGGGCUGCUCCUAGUACGAGAGGACCGGAGUGGACGCAUCACUGGUGUUCGGGUUGUCAUGCCAAUGGCACUGCCCGGUAGCUAAAUGCGGAAGAGAUAAGUGCUGAAAGCAUCUAAGCACGAAACUUGCCCCGAGAUGAGUUCUCCCUGAGACUUUAAGUCUCCUGAAGGAACGUUGAAGACGACGACGUUGAUAGGCCGGGUGUGUAAGCGCAGCGAUGCGUUGAGCUAACCGGUACUAAUGAACCGUGAGGCUUAACCUU